GAAGUGGACAGAAUUACAGUGAACC
rnacentral:piRNA from 1 species